AUGGUUGGACUGUCUCAUGUGUAUAGUAAGUAUCGAGAAGCUGUUGAGGAAGUUGCAUUUUCUUUGGCAGUGUGGUUAGUAAGUGGUGUUUGCAGCAUUAAGAAGGGGUGCCUAUGUGUAGUGGUAUUUACAGCAUUAAGUCAAGUCCUUGUGCCUCACAGAAUUUGCUGGGCAUGUAAGGUCGACUGGUACAUGCUUUUUGUAAGUGAUGAUGAUAGUGCACCUGAUUUUCUGUUCAAAAUGCAGACUCUAUACAUUUUUUUAAACAGUCACAUUGUCAUGAUAUAUAUUCACAAGUAUAUGUAUGUUCCACUGAAGUGCCUAGUUGAUGGCGUUUCGAUAGGUGAGGUUAAUGUGGAUGUCAUGAGCAGAUUCCAGCAUUUGCAAGUUCAGUACAAAAUUAUGCUAUGCAGCUAA
rnacentral:rRNA from 1 species